GAUGAACGCUGGCGGCGUGCCUAAUACAUGCCAGUCGAGCGAACAGACGAGGAGCUUGCUCCUCUGACGUUAGCCGCGGACGGGUGAGUAACACGUGGAUAACCUACCUAUAAGACUGGGAUAACUUCGGGAAACCGGAGCUAAUACCGGAUAAUAUAUUGAACCGCAUGGUUCAAUAGUGAAAGACGGUUUUGCUGUCACUUAUAGAUGGAUCCGCGCCGCAUUAGCUAGUUGGUAAGGUAACGGCUUACCAAGGCAACGAUGCGUAGCCGACCUGAGAGGGUGAUCGGCCACACGGGAACUGAGACACGGUCCAGACUCCUACGGGAGGCAGCAGUAGGGAAUCUUACGCAAUGGGCGAAAGCCUGACGGAGCAACGCCGCGUGAGUGAUGAAGGUCUUCGGAUCGUAAAACUCUGUUAUUAGGGAAGAACAAAUGUGUAAGUAACUAUGCACGUCUUGACGGUACCUAAUCAGAAAGCCACGGCUAACUACGUG
rnacentral:rRNA from 1 species